UACGGAGGGUGCGAGCGUUGUCCGGAAUCACUGGGCGUAAAGGGCGCGUAGGCGGCGCGGAAAGUCAACGGUGAAAGCUUGGGGCUCAACCCCGAGUCGGCCGUCGAUACUUCUGGGCUGGAGCACUGUAGAGGCAGGUGGAAUUCCGGGUGUAGCGGUGGAAUGCGUAGAGAUCCGGAAGAACACCGGUGGCGAAGGCGGCUUCCUGGACCGAUUACUGACGCUGAGGCGCGAAAGCUAGGGGAGCAAACGGG
rnacentral:rRNA from 1 species